AGCUAACGCGUUAAGUCGACCGCCUGGGGAGUACGGCCGCAAGGUUAAAACUCAAAUGAAUUGACGGGGGCCCGCACAAGCGGUGGAGCAUGUGGUUUAAUUCGAUGCAACGCGAAGAACCUUACCUACUCUUGACAUCCAGAGAACUUUCCAGAGAUGGAUUGGUGCCUUCGGGAACUCUGAGACAGGUGCUGCAUGGCUGUCGUCAGCUCGUGUUGUGAAAUGUUGGGUUAAGUCCCGCAACGAGCGCAACCCUUAUCCUUUGUUGCCAGCGGUUAGGCCGGGAACUCAAAGGAGACUGCCAGUGAUAAACUGGAGGAAGGUGGGGAUGACGUCAAGUCAUCAUGGCCCUUACGAGUAGGGCUACACACGUGCUACAAUGGCGCAUACAAAGAGAAGCGACCUCGCGAGAGCAAGCGGACCUCAUAAAGUGCGUCGUAGUCCGGAUUGGAGUCUGCAACUCGACUCCAUGAAGUCGGAAUCGCUAGUAAUCGUAGAUCAGAAUGCUACGGUGAAUACGUUCCCGGG
rnacentral:rRNA from 1 species